rnacentral:misc_RNA from 1 species
AAGUCGUAACAAGGUUUCCGUAGGUGAACCUGCGGAAGGAUCAUUAACGAAUAAACCUGGCAGAUUGUAGCUGACCCUCUCGAGGGUAUGUGCACAUCGGUCAUCUUUAUCUUUCCACCUGUGCACUUUUAUGUAGACCUGGAGAAGUAGAACUGCAAGUUUAUCAAUCUGAGGUAGAACUCGGUCGUGAGGAGCUGUAGGCGCUUUCGAGUGUCAGCUCUCCUUGUUGCAGCUUCUGUUUUUUUCCAGGAUCUAUGUUUUUCAUAUACACCCUUAUAAAAGAUUAUUAGAAUGUGUUUACUAGGUCUUUGCACCUAUAAAAAAACUAUACAACUUUCAGCAACGGAUCUCUUGGCUCUC